rnacentral:rRNA from 1 species
UACGUAGGGGGCUAGCGUUGUCCGGAUUUAUUGGGCGUAAAGAGCGUGUAGGCGGCCAGGUAGGUCUGCUGUGAAAACUCGAGGCUCAACCUCGAGACGUCGGCGGAAACCAUCUGGCUAGAGUCCGGAAGAGGAGAGUGGAAUUCCUGGUGUAGCGGUGAAAUGCGCAGAUAUCAGGAGGAACACCGAUGGCGAAGGCGGCCUGCUGGACCCCACCUGACGCUGAGGCGCGAAAGCCAGGGGAGCGAACGGG